CCUACGGGAGGCAGCAGUAAGGAAUAUUGGUCAAUGGACGCAAGUCUGAACCAGCCAUGCCGCGUGAAGGAUUAAGGCCCUCUGGGUUGUAAACUUCUUUUAUAGGGGACGAAAAAAGGGCAUUCUUGCUCACUUGACGGUACCCUAGGAAUAAGCACCGGCUAACUCCGUGCCAGCAGCCGCGGUAAUACGGAGGGUGCAAGCGUUAUCCGGAUUUACUGGGUUUAAAGGGUGCGUAGGUGGGUUGGUAAGUCAGUGGUGAAAUCUUCGAGCUUAACUCGGAAACUGCCAUUGAUACUAUCAAUCUUGAAUCAUCUAGAGGUAAGCGGAAUAUGUCAUGUAGCGGUGAAAUGCUUAGAUAUGACAUAGAACACCAAUUGCGAAGGCAGCUUACUAUGGAUGCAUUGACACUGAGGCACGAAAGCGUGGGGAUCAAACAGGAUUAGAUACCCUGGUAGUCCACGCCCUAAACGAUGGAUACUCGACAUUUGUGAUAUACAAUAAGUGUUNUGAGAGAAGACAUUAAGUAUACCACCUACGGAGUACGACCGACGAGUAGUAACGACGAAGAAGUAGACGACGUGAGACGAGACGACGACGACGACGAGGGAGGAGG
rnacentral:rRNA from 1 species